GACGAACGCUGGCGGCGUGCUUAACACAUGCAAGUCGAACGAUGAAGCCGGAGCUUGCUCCGGUGGAUUAGUGGCGAACGGGUGAGUAACACGUGAGCAAUCUGCCCUUGACUCUGGGAUAACUGCGGGAAACUGUAGCUAAUACCGGAUACGACACCUUGGGGCAUCCCAGGGUGUGGAAAGAAUUUCGGUCAAGGAUGAGCUCGCGGCCUAUCAGCUAGUUGGUGAGGUAACGGCUCACCAAGGCGACGACGGGUAGCCGGCCUGAGAGGGUGACCGGCCACACUGGAACUGAGACACGGCCCAGACUCCUACGGGAGGCAGCAGUGGGGAAUAUUGCUCAAUGGCCGAAAGGCUGAAGCAGCAACGCCGCGUGAAGGAUGAAUGGCUUUGGCUUGUAAACUUCUGUAGAAAGGGAAAAAUGAACCGGCAUGCCCGGUUUUGAUUGUACCUUUAAAGUAAGCCCCGGCUAACUACGUGCCAGCCGCCGCAGUAA
rnacentral:rRNA from 1 species